CGAGGGCGCAGUAGCAGAAUUUUUCACAAUCACCGAAAGCCUGAUGGAGCAAUACCGACGUGAAUGAUGAAGGUCUUCGUCUUUGUAAAAUUAUUUUAUUAGGGACGAGCGGCAACAAGAGGAAAUGGUUAGUGAUUGACUGUACCUAUUCAAUAAGUAACGGCAAACUAUGUGCCAGCAGCCGCAGGUAAUACAUAGGUUACAAGCGUUAUCCGGAUCUACUGGGCGUAAAGCGAGCGCAGGCUGAUUAACAAGUCUAGUGUGAAAGGCAGUCCUUAACAACAACCCGCAUUGGAAACUGUUAGUAUCGAGUGUGAUAGGGAGUUMUGGAACUCCAUUUGGAGCGGUGGAAUGCGUAGAUAUAUGGAAGAACACCAGCGGCGAAAGCGAGAACUUAGGUCUACAACUGACGCUUAGGCUGGAAAGUGUGGGGAGCAAAUAGGAUUAGAUACCCUAGUAGUCCACGCCGUAAACGAUGGUUAUUAGUUGUUGGUACGAAGUACUAGCAACUAAGCUAACGCAUUAAAUAACCCACCUGGGUAGUACAUUCGCAAGAAUGAAACUCAAACGGAAUUGACGGGGACCCGCACAAGAGGUGGAGCAUGUUUUUUUAAUUCCACRGUACACCUUAACCUUCUUGRGRUCUGACAUCCUCSUAUAAACUAUAUA
rnacentral:rRNA from 1 species